rnacentral:snRNA from 1 species
CUAAGAUCAAAGUGUAGUAUCUGUUCUUUACGGUCUUAAUCUCCGUAACGACCCCUACCGGGGUCAAAAGAGAUUAACCAAUUUUUGGUAAAAUGGUCGCAGCAGGGGGGCUUGCUCCCUCUCGACCGCGCGUCGUCCCGGUAUUGCACUUACCUCCGGGCACGGCGCAUCUCCC